rnacentral:rRNA from 1 species
GGGUUGUGAGGUUAAGCGACUAAGCGUACACGGUGGAUGCCCUGGCAGUCAGAGGCGAUGAAGGACGUGCUAAUCUGCGAAAAGCGUCGGUAAGGUGAUAUGAACCGUUAUAACCGGCGAUGUCCGAAUGGGGAAACCCAGUGUGAUUCGUCACACUAUCGUUAACUGAAUACAUAGGUUAACGAGGCGAACCGGGGGAACUGAAACAUCUAAGUACCCCGAGGAAAAGAAAUCAACCGAGAUUCCCCCAGUAGCGGCGAGCGAACGGGGAGCAGCCCAGAGUCUGAAUCAGCUUGUGUGUUAGUGGAACGGUCUGGAAAGUCCGACGGUACAGGGUGAUAGUCCCGUACACCAAAAAUGCACAGGCUGUGAACUCGAAGAGUAGGGCGGGACACGUGGUAUCCUGUCUGAAUAUGGGGGACCAUCCUCCAAGGCUAAAUACUCCUGACUGACCGAUAGUGAACCAGUACCGUGAGGGAAAGGCGAAAAGAACCCCGGCGAGGGAGUGAAAAAGAACCUGAAACCGUGUACGUACAAGCAGUGGGAGCACCUUCGGGUGUGACUGCGUACCUUUGUAUAAUGGGUCAGCGACUUAUAUUCUGUAGCAAGGUUAACCGUAUAGGGGAGCCGCAGGGAAACCGAGUCUUAACUGGGCGUUAAGUUGCAGGGUAUAGACCCGAAACCCGGUGAUCUAGCCAUGGGCAGGUUGAAGGUUGGGUAACACUAACUGGAGGACCGAACCGACUAAUGUUGAAAAAUUAGCGGAUGACUUGUGGCUGGGGUGAAAGGCCAAUCAAACCGGGAGAUAGCUGGUUCUCCCCGAAAGCUAUUUAGGUAGCGCCUCGUGAACUCAUCUUCGGGGGUAGAGCACUGUUUCGGCUAGGGGGUCAUCCCGACUUACCAACCCGAUGCAAACUACGAAUACCGAAGAAUGUUAUCACGGGAGACACACGGCGGGUGCUAACGUCCGUCGUGAAGAGGGAAACAACCCAGACCGCCAGCUAAGGUCCCAAAGUCAUGGUUAAGUGGGAAACGAUGUGGGAAGGCACAGACAGCCAGGAUGUUGGCUUAGAAGCAGCCAUCAUUUAAAGAAAGCGUAAUAGCUCACUGGUCGAGUCGGCCUGCGCGGAAGAUGUAACGGGGCUAAACCAUGCACCGAAGCUGCGGCAGCGACACUAUGUGUUGUUGGGUAGGGGAGCGUUCUGUAAGCCUGCGAAGGUGACCUGUGAGGGUUGCUGGAGGUAUCAGAAGUGCGAAUGCUGACAUAAGUAACGAUAAAGCGGGUGAAAAGCCCGCUCGCCGGAAGACCAAGGGUUCCUGUCCAACGUUAAUCGGGGCAGGGUGAGUCGACCCCUAAGGCGAGGCCGAAAGGCGUAGUCGAUGGGAAACAGGUUAAUAUUCCUGUACUUGGUGUUACUGCGAAGGGGGGACGGAGAAGGCUAUGUUAGCCGGGCGACGGUUGUCCCGGUUUAAGCAUGUAGGCUGGUUAUCCAGGCAAAUCCGGAUAAUCAAGGCUGAGGUGUGAUGACGAGGCACUACGGUGCUGAAGUAACAAAUGCCCUGCUUCCAGGAAAAGCCUCUAAGCAUCAGGUAACAUCAAAUCGUACCCCAAACCGACACAGGUGGUCAGGUAGAGAAUACCAAGGCGCUUGAGAGAACUCGGGUGAAGGAACUAGGCAAAAUGGUGCCGUAACUUCGGGAGAAGGCACGCUGGUGUGUAGGUGAAGCCCCUGCGGGUGGAGCUGAGACCAGUCGAAGAUACCAGCUGGCUGCAACUGUUUAUUAAAAACACAGCACUGUGCAAACACGAAAGUGGACGUAUACGGUGUGACGCCUGCCCGGUGCCGGAAGGUUAAUUGAUGGGGUUAUCCGUAAGGAGAAGCUCUUGAUCGAAGCCCCGGUAAACGGCGGCCGUAACUAUAACGGUCCUAAGGUAGCGAAAUUCCUUGUCGGGUAAGUUCCGACCUGCACGAAUGGCGUAAUGAUGGCCAGGCUGUCUCCACCCGAGACUCAGUGAAAUUGAACUCGCUGUGAAGAUGCAGUGUACCCGCGGCAAGACGGAAAGACCCCGUGAACCUUUACUAUAGCUUGACACUGAACAUUGAGCCUUGAUGUGUAGGAUAGGUGGGAGGCUUUGAAGCGUGGACGCCAGUCUGCGUGGAGCCAACCUUGAAAUACCACCCUUUAAUGUUUGAUGUUCUAACGUUGGCCCCUUACCGGGGUUGCGGACAGUGUCUGGUGGGUAGUUUGACUGGGGCGGUCUCCUCCCAAAGCGUAACGGAGGAGCACGAAGGUUAGCUAAUCCUGGUCGGACAUCAGGAGGUUAGUGCAAUGGCAUAAGCUAGCUUGACUGCGAGCGUGACGGCGCGAGCAGGUGCGAAAGCAGGUCAUAGUGAUCCGGUGGUUCUGAAUGGAAGGGCCAUCGCUCAACGGAUAAAAGGUACUCCGGGGAUAACAGGCUGAUACCGCCCAAGAGUUCAUAUCGACGGCGGUGUUUGGCACCUCGAUGUCGGCUCAUCACAUCCUGGGGCUGAAGUAGGUCCCAAGGGUAUGGCUGUUCGCCAUUUAAAGUGGUACGCGAGCUGGGUUUAGAACGUCGUGAGACAGUUCGGUCCCUAUCUGCCGUGGGCGCUGGAGAAUUGAGGGGGGCUGCUCCUAGUACGAGAGGACCGGAGUGGACGCAUCACUGGUGUUCGGGUUGUCAUGCCAAUGGCACUGCCCGGUAGCUAAAUGCGGAAGAGAUAAGUGCUGAAAGCAUCUAAGCACGAAACUUGCCCCGAGAUGAGUUCUCCCUGAGACUUUAAGUCUCCUGAAGGAACGUUGAAGACGACGACGUUGAUAGGCCGGGUGUGUAAGCGCAGCGAUGCGUUGAGCUAACCGGUACUAAUGAACCGUGAGGCUUAACCUUACAACGCCGAAG